GCAGUAGUGGUUCAGUGGUAGAAUUCUUGCCUUCCGUGCAAGAGACCAGGGUUCAGUUCCUGGCCAGUGUA
rnacentral:tRNA from 1 species